rnacentral:lncRNA from 1 species
GCAAAACUGUAACAUCCAAUGUCAAAUGUCUAGAAUAUUGACCAAGAUAUACAUAUUUGAGAUUCAGAUACAUUAAAAUUUAUAGAAUAGCUUGUUCAAAAGAACAAGUACCUAAAUUCUAUAUCAGGUACAAGGAAAUGAAAGUUCCAUUACACAAUGGUAAAUAAUCAUCAGACAUAUCUAUCAGACUAAUCUAACAAAACAAGGAAUAAACUAAUGUAAUAAAAUCUUCCAUCUUCAAUCCUUAGUUUCUUCUUACCCCUGACUCGUUUAAUCUGCUUAUCUGAAAAAAAUAAAAAGGAGUGGGAUGAGACAUAAAGCCUCGGUGAGUCCCACCUAUCUUAGGGUGAUACUAAUAUCCUUUGUCCUGACAGUUGAUUAAUUACAUAAACAUAUACAUAUUCAUUUCACGAUUAUUUUCAGUAUAAUGCAAAUAAAGUGUGACACAAAAUUAUUUGUCUGAGUUGAUUUUACGGAAUAAUUCGAGGUGAGUAGUCUCGAACCAUUCCCUUACAUACCCGGCUAAAUUCCCUAUCAUUUCGGGGCUAAAGCGUACGGUCAUACCUCAUCUUAUCGUUGUGUGAAAUUCUAUAUAGAAUUUCAAUCCAGCUCCAACUCCUACAUAAGGAAGCCUUUCUGGUGCCUUAUAGACCACAACUUAACAUAUUAUUCAUCAUAGACAUUUAGCAUUAUAAAUCUAACACUUGUGGCCCAAAGUCCACUAUAUUUCAAGAUCAACUGUCAAUAUUCUUACCUGUCCUGAAUUAACUUAUAAUGCAUCUAGUCCAUAGUUUUCUGUUUGUUUUCCCUACCCAACCUAUGCAAUUUAUUAAGCUAACUACUAUAUUUUUCAUUCCCAUAUGAUCUUAUUCCAUUAGGGACAUUACGGUGUCCCAAAAGCGUCCGAAAAUGCAAAACAGUGCAAACGGGGCUGCUGGAUGUAGCUCCAGGCACAGGAACAGUCUGGGAAACACUGUUAUUUGCGCUUCCAGCGCAGUGGUCCGCGCNNNNNNNNNNNNNNNAGAGGGCAGAAUGCCCAGGUGGCCAGUUUCCUGCAAAAAAAUUCAGUUUGUACCAUUAUCCUCACACAGUCCUAGCCUUACUCUAGAUGCAUUUUAGUGACAAUUUAGGCCAACAGUUAGUAGCACAACAAGGGCAAGGUAAGUCACCAAGAUUCAUAAAUAACAUGCAUUAAAUCUAUACAAUUUGAGAGAACUAAUCUAAAGGGGCAAUCUCAUCAAAGUGCAAUUUCUCAUGAAAUAGUUUCUAGUUCUAACUACCCGAAAACCCAAUUCUCCAUGAGAAUAGUGGGGAGACUAUAUUGGUAAGGAUUUCUAUCUGUGGAACUCACCUCUGUAAUUGUAGCUCUCUCAACACUUGAUUAUUACAACCACAACAUAGUCUACAUCAAAAGCUUGUUCUCCAAUCUAGUCUAGUGCUCCAAUUGAAUCUGUCUUAUAAUUCUUUUCAAUCCAAACUUCCAACCUCAUGUGUCAAGGGAACUUCUGGAACUAAAAAGGAAAACGAAACUUCAAGCUUCAGGUACCNNNNNNNNNNNNNNNNNNNNNNNNNNNNNNNNNNNNNNNNNNNNNNNNNNNNNNNNNNNNNNNNNNNNNNNNCGAGUGACUAAACUGAAGGAAAUUUCGUCUAGAUUCUGAAAAUUCAGCAAUCGUUCAAAUCUGGAUUACAGAGUGAAAGUUAUGACAGAAAUACUAGUCAUAGGUCCAUCCGAAUUUUACCUAGAUUACCUCCAAUACUUGAAAUGCUCCAACCCAUAGUAAAACUCAUGAAUACAAGCCUCAAGAGUGAAAAAGGAUUCUGAAUUUGGGAAAAAUAAGGCAUCAAAUACAAAGAGAAUUUUGGGGUUCAAUGGUGAAAGAACAAGAGGAAAACAAGAAUCAAAUUUUAUUCAUACCUUAACUUUCCUUUUGGUAUGAAAUGAGAGUUUGAAGCCUUAAUUCGUACAUGCAUGAACUAAUAAUGGAGGAAUUGGGAAAAUUUCGGAAUUGGGGUUUAGGUUUGUGGAGAUUCUUUGCCAAAUAGAGAAAAGAUGAAUGAAACUAAAAUUGAGACUUGAUUCUUGGUUAUGGAGGUGGAUGUUAGAAAAGCAUACUCAUGGAAAGCUUCAAUGUAGAAGAAAGAUGGGAAUGGUGGAAUUUGAGAUAGUGUUAAGAAGUCUCACAUCGGUUCAGAGAUGGCCUGACUAAGUGUUUAUAAACUAGAGACAAUCCUCACCUUAUAAGUCGGUUUUGUAAGGAUGAGUUAGACUCAAUACUCAUUUCUAAGAUGGUAUCGGAGCCUCUCCAAGAUCCAUUGGGCCACCCGAUAUCGGGUCACCUACCAUUUAUAUCCGCGUACCAAGCCCAAUAGCACUAGACGCGAGGGGGUGUGUUAAGAAGUCUCACAUCGGUUGAGAGAUGGCCUGACUAAGUGUUUAUAAACUAGAGGCAAUACUCACCUUACAAGCCGGUUUUGUAAGGAUGAGUUAAGCCCAAUACUCAUUUCUAAGAGGUAGUGUCGUUGUUGUUGUUCGUAAGUGAGAGGGAGAGGAGUGGGUGACCUUGCUGAAGUUGAUUUAAGGGAACAAGAAAGAUGGAAUUGAGUUUAGUAUUUCACACAUGCAUGCUUGGUUGAGAGCUAAUUGAAGGGAUUUUCUUGAACUCAAGACUAUGGUGAAGGUGAAGAUGAAGAGUUUUGCGUGAUGAAGAGUUUUGCGUGAGAGAGAUGUAAAUAAGUCUGGUUACUGCUUUUGGAUGUUUAGGAAGUGAAGAGUUAAAGGAAUGCUCGGUUCAUUCUUGUUUUGUCAUAGUGGAUUGUGGGUCCCACUUGGCACUUGUUUCUCUUCUAUUGGCUAGAGUUAACUCAUCCUUGUGUUUGUUUCUCAAUUCCAGCUUAAAUCCUUAUUUCACACCUCUAAUGAAUAAUUUUCCC